GCGGGGCUCCACCCGGGUCCCCGCACGUUCUCACCGCGUUCGACAGCCCUACUCGGGGCUCGGCAGCCCCGCCGUCCCCGGUGCUCGUCUUCUGAGCCGUUGCCUCAGACCACAGCCCCACAAAGGGUUGGGCGCGUUCCAGCCCAGACCAGAAGGCAGCGGCGUGAACCCAGGAAGGGGCCCGAGCCCGAAGUCAGGAAUCCGCUACUUAGUCCCUCCGCUUCCGCUCUGCUCCAUCCGCAGGACAAUACCCUGGGUGGUUCUGGCUCCUCUCCCGUAUUAUUUGUGGAAUGUUCUUCGGCUAGUUCCAGAAGGAGUGAAGUUCCAGCACAAAUGGAAGCUACAAACUAGCUCUGUAGUCAAGCUGGAGACUUGUAUCGCGAGUCAGAGUCCACCAUCCCUUAAAAGAAGAGGGCGCA
rnacentral:lncRNA from 14 species